GGGGUUGUAGCUCAGUGGUAGAGCACUUGCCUAGCAUGUGUGAGGCACUGGGUUCAAUUCUCAGCAUCACAU
rnacentral:tRNA from 1 species